rnacentral:rRNA from 1 species
AAUCUGCCCUCGGGAGGGGGACAACCGCUGGAAACGGCGGCUAAUACCCCAUAAGCCCACGGGUGAAAGUUCCGGCGCCCGAGGAGGAGCUCGCGUCCGAUUAGCUAGUUGGUGGGGUAAGAGCCUACCAAGGCGACGAUCGGUAGCUGGUCUGAGAGGAUGAGCAGCCACACUGGGACUGAGACACGGCCCAGACUCCUCUCCUACGGGAGGCAGCAGUGGGGAAUCUUCCGCAAUGGGCGCCAGCCUGACGGAGCUAUACCGCGUGAGGGAAGAAGGCCCUUGGGUCGUAAACCUCUUUUCUCGGGGAAGACCCCCGACGGUACCCGAGGAAAAAGCCUCGGCCAACUCCGUGCCAGCAGCCGCGGUAAUACGGAGGAGGCAAGCGUUAUCCGGAAUUAUUGGGCGUAAAGCGUCCGCAGGUGGCACCUCAAGUCGGCGGUGAAAGGCUGGGGCUCAACCCCAGACCAGCCGUGGAAACUGAGGAGCUAGAUGUGCGGUAGGGGUAAGAGGUGAUAUUCCCACGUGUAUGCGGUGAAAUGCGUAGAGAAUUGGGAAGACCACCGCGUGGUCGAAACGCGGCUCUAGCUGGACCGCAACCUGACAUCUUCAGGGACGAAAGCUAGGGGAGCG